rnacentral:rRNA from 1 species
UACGGAGGGUGCAAGCGUUAUCCGGAUUCACUGGGUUUAAAGGGUGCGUAGGUGGAUUGGUAAGUCAGUGGUGAAAUCUCCGGGCUUAACUCGGAAACUGCCAUUGAUACUAUCAGUCUUGAAUACCGUGGAGGUCAGUAGAAUAUGUCAUGUAGCGGUGAAAUGCUUAGAUAUGACAUAGAAUACCAAUUGCGAAGGCAGCUGGCUACACGAAUAUUGACACUCAGGCACGAAAGCGUGGGGAUCAAACAGG